CUCUCUGCUUCUGUUUUGCUUUAUUCCAUGUAGUGCUGGUCAGUAGAAGGGCACAAUCAUAUUGGCUCUAAUUUCUAAGCAAAUGAGAGCCUAGGAGGGAAAAGCCUCAAAGGAUUGAGCUGAAGAGUCAAAUACGUUAUUUUGAAUCUUGCCUCACUACCCUGUUACUUGAAACUUUAGUUAAUUCUGUAGUACAGGGUUAGUACUACCUAGCACAUAAGGUUAUUGUGAAAUAGCAAAUGGAAAUCUAAAGAAGAGCUUGCACAUAGUAGGUGAUUAGUGACUUUUAACUCCUUUCUUCUUAAAAAAGAAUCUGCCAAAAUGCCGUUGUAUACUUGCAAGACUAGCUGAGGCGUGUCUCUUGCCAGCUCUAAGGCAGCCACCCACACAUUAUGGAAUAAGUCUC
rnacentral:lncRNA from 1 species